rnacentral:rRNA from 1 species
UACGAAGGGGGCUAGCGUUGUUCGGAAUUACUGGGCGUAAAGCGCACGUAGGCGGGUCGUUAAGUCAGGGGUGAAAUCCCGGAGCUCAACUCCGGAACUGCCUUUGAUACUGGGGAUCUCGAGUCCGGGAGAGGUGAGUGGAACUGCGAGUGUAGAGGUGAAAUUCGUAGAUAUUCGCAAGAACACCAGUGGCGAAGGCGGCUCACUGGCCCGGAACUGACGCUGAGGUGCGAAAGCGUGGGGAGCAAACAGG